UACGGAGGGGGCUAGCGUUGUUCGGAAUUACUGGGCGUAAAGGGUGCGCAGGCGGUUUUGUAAGUCAGAUGUGAAAUCCCCGGGCUUAACCUGGGAACUGCGUUUGAAACUACAAGGCUAGAGUGUGGCAGAGGGGGGUGGAAUUCCACGUGUAGCAGUGAAAUGCGUAGAGAUGUGGAGGAACACCGAUGGCGAAGGCAGCCCCCUGGGUUAACACUGACGCUCAGGCACGAAAGCGUGGGGAGCAAACAGG
rnacentral:rRNA from 1 species